UUUCAAAACGACAUAAUUUGUAGAACACGAGAUUGUCAGUUAAUUUUUUUUGUGGAUAAACGCUGAACAGGAAGCUAGAAAUGGCCAGGAAUAUUGUUUUUGGGGGAAUAAACACGGCGUGAAACGCCAAGUGGCCGGAAUUAUAUUUAAAUAAAUGCAUAAUCAUAUUUCAAUAGGGUGGCAACUCUACUUCUUCUGUGAUCGAUGAGCAAAUUAAUCGAUAAGGUCAAGUAGAGCGCCGACAUUUGAAAGGAGUAAAGCAACCAGCCACUUCCUACGAAUACUCUUGAAAUACGAAGGUAUGCUUACAUGUGAAUAAUCUGCCGUACAGCCCCAGGUGUGAAAUCUGUGACGUAAUACGCAAAAGCUCUGUGUGUGCUCAAUCUGAAGGCACAUAUAUUCUCGUUUAUUGUGUAUUAAUACAGUAAAUUCAUUUAGUAACAACUACUACGGCUGGUACGUGAAUAA